AUUGAACGCUGGCGGCAUGCUUUACACAUGCAAGUCGAACGGUAACAGGCCGCAAGGUGCUGACGAGUGGCGAACGGGUGAGUAAUGCAUCGGAACGUGCCCAGUCGUGGGGGAUAACGCAGCGAAAGCUGUGCUAAUACCGCAUACGAUCUAUGGAUGAAAGCGGGGGACCGUAAGGCCUCGCGCGAUUGGAGCGGCCGGUGUCAGAUUAGCUAGUUGGUGGGGUAAAGGCCCACCAAGGCGACGAUCUGUAGCUGGUCUGAGAGGACGACCAGCCACACUGGGACUGAGACACGGCCCAGACUCCUACGGGAGGCAGCAGUGGGGAAGUUUGGACAAUGGGCGCAAGCCUGAUCCAGCAAUGCCGCGUGCAGGAAGAAGGCCUUCGGGUUGUAAACUGCUUGUGUACGGAACGAAACGGUCUGGGUUAAUACCUCGGGCUAAUGACGGUACCGUAAGAAUAAGCACCGGCUAACUACGUGCCAGCCGCCGCAGUAAGAC
rnacentral:rRNA from 1 species